rnacentral:rRNA from 1 species
UGAGGAAUAUUGGGCAAUGCCCGCAAGGGUGACCCAGCAACGCCGCGUGGAGGAUGAAUGUCGUAAGAUUGUAAACUCCUGUUAGAGGGGAAGAAUAGUACCGGUUGGACCGGUAUAUGACUGUACCCUCAGAGAAAGCCCCGGCUAACUACGUGCCAGCAGCCGCGGUAAUACGUAGGGGGCAAGUGUUGUCCGGAUUUACUGGGUGUAAAGGGCGCGCAGGCGGGAUAAAAAGUCAGUGGUGAAAUCCUACAGCUUAACUGUAGAACUGCCUUUGAUACUUUUAUUCUUGAGUUCGGGAGAGNGAGACGGAAUUCCAGGUGUAGUGGUGAAAUACGUAGAUAUCUGGAAGAACACCAGUUGCGAAGGCGGUCUCUUGGUCCGACACUGACGCUGAGGCGCGAAAGCGUGGGGAGCAAACA